UAUCCUACUGCCUUCUAUACUGGGACUUUUGUGUCACAGCUGAGCUAUCAUGGGAUGAACUUCCUAACAUCUUCAGUUGACCAACCUCACAAUUGUGUCAAACACAACUGGAUGCAAACAAUAUAAAUAGAGAAGACUUACUCCCUGGUUCAGUUGCUCUCAAAUCCUGAGUUGAACAAGACAAGAGGAAACUACGGAAAAAUCAACAAACAAAAGAAAAGGAAAUUUAAAUUCCUUUUCCAAAGCUUCAGUAAGCUCUUGGGUACACCAGGAAUGAGUUCGGUGAGGUAACAUCUCCCCAGAGGAAAUAUGAGCAGAGGCCUCAAGAUAGAAGGAAUUUUGGCCAUUGGAGCAGCAGAAGGCAGGCCAGUGUGGCUCCAGCAUGAUGAGGGGUAGGUAAAGAGGCAAGACAAGGCUGAAGACAGGCUGGGUCAUAUUCCUUAUGGGACUCAACACUGUCCAACCAGGUAUCAGGUUCCAGGGCUUAACACUAUAUUCCACAAUAAUAACCAGGCUUGGUGAAAUCCAACUCAUCCUAGCUCUUACCUGUUAAACACGUUUUACAUGAGUAUCCACCCUAAUUCUCACACUAAUUCUCAAGGACAAUUACCCUUACCAUUUACAGAUUAAUAAGACAACACAAAAGAGUAAAAACAAUUAUUUAAAUCAAAUAGCAGGGUCUGUCAAAUUGUCACCUUCAAAAUAAAGAAGGUGGAAGAUAGAAAAGUUCACUUUGCAUAGGAUAAUAAUUGUCCUCAUUAGCAUUACCAUGGCUACACAUCCUCUCCCCCAGCCAUGUUGGAGAAGCAGAAGUAUAAAUAUGAUGCUAAGGAAUUUGGCAAGCUACCCUAACUAGUAAUUAGCUUGGGGAAAAAUUUGGUGGGACCUCUAUGAAGUUUGGGCACAGAAAAAUCUCCAUGCUUAAGAACAUGCCACUUUUCUGUUUAAUAUCCAGAAUCACUCAUCUGGAAGGCAGACCUUCACAUUGUUAGUGACAGAAGGGAGAGGAAAUGUGAAAGGAUGAAAUCGGGGAGUACACACCUCAAAACGUGAUAAAUCCCCGUUGCCUGUCCCAGAUUGGCAGAGAGGCAGCAUUUAGCCUUCCGGUUCUCUGUUCCUCUUACUCACAGAUUCUAGCCCUGGUGUUACCUGGCGCUGGCUUCUGAACCCUGUCUCCCAGACUUUAGCUAUUUAAGACCAGCUGUUUUGCUCAGCACCUUUCCUGAUGCAACUCUUAAAUACGAAUCUCAGCCUGUGUUUUGAUGACAUUUAACUUCCAGCCUCUCCCAGUCCAUCAUUUUACUGUGGAAUCCAUUUCUUGGCUGUUUUGUUCUUCACAUAGAUGGCCACUGAUAUUCUGACGAUAGCUGGCAAGUGGUUCAACGCUUAAGUGCAGAACUAUGAAGCCAGAAAUGCAAAUGGCAUACUUGGAAGCCUUAGUAUUUGUUUUUACUGAACAAAUUUUGGUGGGUACUUUUGGGGUCCUGGCAUUAUUUAUGUGCUGCUUGUAUUGGAAAGUCACAAACUGGGUGACUAGUAUUGGGUGGAUCUGUUUAAGAAGGUCAGUGGUGUCGAUGUUGAUUCUCAUUAUUUACGGCUGCCUUAGAGUAUACGUGGCUUGCUUUUAUCUAAAGUUUCCAUUCCACAACUAAAAGACAGAGUGCUGAGUUUUAAGAAAAUAUGAUAUACAAAAAGUCAGUUAUAAGAAAGUAACUUGGUAAGCUGAACUAUUAUUUAUUGAUUUUUACCAAAGGAUUUACCAAAUAUAUUUACCAAAGGAUUCAUGACGGAUUCAGAGAUACUGAGAUUCCUUGACAUAUUAAAAAUGUGACUGAAUUUCCAAAAGCUUUACUUAACAGUUUACAGAAUAUGUUUAUUGUUCAAUGGUAGGAACAUCGGUGGAUUAUCUAUAAAGAAACAUCUGUUGUUUGGAUCUAACUCUAAAAUGUUCCUGAUUUGAUGAUCAUGUUUGUGUUUUACUAUAUAUUCAGAAUAAAUAUUUUGAUUUUCAUGGUAAUGUCAAAAGUAGCAACGUCUUUUCAAGGCUUCAAAGUUCAAAAUGGAACCUGCAUAAAUGAACUAUUAGUCUCUCUAAAUCACUAAUAUGUCUCUCAUGUUUUAAAAGUAGGGCAAGCAUAGUAAAUGUUGGGUUUGUGUUUCGCUUUUUUAAAGCAAGAACUAUCUUAUCAAUCUUUUUAACACAAAACUAUAUAAGAAACUUUAGACAAGGUGCCAGUGGAAUGAAUCUGCUAACGAAAUUCCAUUUGACAAGUUUUAGGAAUUACUUUUGACAUAAUUAACCAACUUUGCUCCAUUUCAUGUUUGCUCUGUUUCCAGGAGAUGCCACUAGGCAGAAUUCAGCAAGUUGAAGGCCUAUAUGCUUUCAGCACUCAUAUCUGCAAAUAUAGUCCCACCUGAGGCUUUCCAGGGGUAUUAACCAAAUAGCAUGCUUUUCUUUUAAACUUCUGUAUAUGCCUCUAAAGUAUAAGAUCUCUUUUUUAAUAACAUAGGAAUAAUAUCAUAUGCAAAAUGAUAGUAGUUAAAGAAUAAUAUUAUCAAACACAUAGAUAAUAUUUAAGUAUACCCAUAAAAUGUUUUGGGUUUCUCUUAGGAGAGUGAGAAGUGGAAGAUGUUUUUUUUUUAUAGUUAAUGCAUUCAAACCAUAAUCCAAAUAAAUUCCCCACAAUGCAUUCAGUUGAUUUGUCUCUUAAAUCUUUUUAGUAUUCAUAGCUUUUUUGUUGAGCAAAACUGAGCAUCUGACCUCUUGGUCUUUUUACUUCCUGUAUUUUGCUGAUUGGUACUCUCAUAUUAUUGUCUAAUCUAUUCUUCUAUUCCUUAUAUCUCCUAUAAACUGGUAGCUAGAACUAGAAGCUUGAUCAGACUGAAAUUCAAUUUUUUGGAAGGAUGCUUUUUAAAUCAGAGAAAAUUAAUUGAAAUGUAUAAGGGCAGAAUCCAAUUUCAGAUAAAGGCAUAAUGUCAGGCUUUUAGAGUUAUCUGGACUGGAGGUAAGUAUCCCUAUGUUUGUCAGAAACUUUUAGGAAAGGAGCAUAUCCUAAAGUUACUCAUCAGUAAUAUCAUUUAGUAGUGAAAUUAAGAUAAGCUUCCAUUAGAAGGGGAAAGUUUUAUAAAAACUGAAGUGAUUGAUAUAAUGCACAACCUAUAUGGCCAUUAAUAAUAACAUCACAUAAAAUCCAGAUGUCAUUGACAAUGAACUUUUUUUUUUAACUUUUUUUUUUAUUAGUUGGAGGCUAA